GUUGAGGUUCAGUGGUAGAGUGCUUGCCUAGCAUGCGUGAAGCACUGGGUUCAUUCCCCAGCUCCACA
rnacentral:tRNA from 1 species